GAGUUUGAUCAUGGCUCAGAACGAACGCUGGCGGCAGGCUUAACACAUGCAAGUCGAGCGCCCCGCAAGGGGAGCGGCAGACGGGUGAGUAACGCGUGGGAACCUACCUGAAGGUACGGAACAACUCCGGGAAACUGGAGCUAAUACCGUAUGUGCCCGAAAGGGGAAGAUUCAUCGCCUUCAGAUGGGCCCGCGUCAGAUUAGCUAGUUGGUGGGGUAAUGGCCCACCAAGGCGACGAUCUGUAGCUGGUCUGAGAGGAUGAUCAGCCACACUGGGACUGAGACACGGCCCAGACUCCUACGGGAGGCAGCAGUGGGGAAUAUUGGACAAUGGGCGCAAGCCUGAUCCAGCCAUGCCGCGUGAGUGAUGACGGCCUUAGGGUUGUAAAGCUCUUUUACCCGGGAUGAUAAUGACAGUACCGGGAGAAUAAGCU
rnacentral:rRNA from 1 species